rnacentral:rRNA from 1 species
AGACUUAGUGGCGGACGGGUGAGUAAUGUAUGAGCAACCUGCCUUCAAGAGGGGAAUAACAGUCGGAAACGACUGCUAAUACCGCAUAAUAAGGCGUAGUCGCAUGACAAUGCUUUCAAAGGAGCAAUCCGCUUGAAGAUGGGCUCAUAUCUGAUUAGAUAGUUGGUGAGGUAACGGCUCACCAAGUCUGCGAUCAGUAGCCGGACUGAGAGGUUGAAUGGCCACAUUGGAACUGAGAUACGGUCCAGACUCC